AAACGGGGUCUAAUACCGGAUAAUACCUUCUCGGGCAUCUGAGGGGGUUGAAAGCUCCGGCGGUGAAGGAUGAGCCCGCGGCCUAUCAGCUUGUUGGUGGGGUGAUGGCCUACCAAGGCGACGACGGGUAGCCGGCCUGAGAGGGCGACCGGCCACACUGGGACUGAGACACGGCCCAGACUCCUACGGGAGGCAGCAGUGGGGAAUAUUGCACAAUGGGCGAAAGCCUGAUGCAGCGACGCCGCGUGAGGGAUGACGGCCUUCGGGUUGUAAACCUCUUUCAGCAGGGAAGAAGCGAAAGUGACGGUACCUGCAGAAGAAGCACCGGCUAACUACGUGCCAGCAGCCGCGGUAAUACGUAGGGUGCGAGCGUUGUCCGGAAUUAUUGGGCGUAAAGAGCUCGUAGGCGGCUUGUCACGUCGGUUGUGAAAGCCCGGGGCUUAACCCCGGGUCUGCAGUCGAUACGGGCAGGCUAGAGUGUGGUAGGGGAGAUCGGAAUU
rnacentral:rRNA from 2 species